UCCAGUUCAAACAGUUAAUUAACUAUAUUGACAAGUCUAAGUAACCGGAUACCAUAAUAUUUGAUCUAAAAGGAAGGGGACAUGCACAUGAGCAUGAGCAUGAGCAACAGCAAGAGAAAGAGAGAUUACAAAAGACUCACAAAAACUAAUGAAACAUAUAAAAGGCAGCUAAUUAAUUAAGGAAAAUGAUAUUUUUACGUGAUCGAUCUUCCAUAUAUCUUAUAAGUAUAGCUAGCUAGGUGCUAGCUUGGCCUAGUGAUCUAGUCUAGUAUAGUCUACCUAGCCGGUUCCGGUGACACCUAAGUCUUGCUUGUCAUCCUCAUCAUCAUCUUUGCCGGCGCCGAAAACAGGGCCACCUUUGCCGGCGGCAUCCUCGACUUUGUCCUGAAGUUUAUCAACCUGAAUCCCUCCGACAUCUUCCUGCGAGUAAAUAUUGGUUUUAGUCUUGUUCUCUCCGCCCUCCACCGACUCAUAUGUCGUCGGCGUGACCGAUUCCUUCGGCUGCGCUCCUUGUGCCCCUGACAUAUAUAUAUAUAUAUAUAUCCUUAUUUCAAUUUAUUUUUCCUAAUUAAUUCAAAGAAAACCCUUUUUCCUUUGUAGGUAAUAGGGUAGCAGCUAGCUCUCUCUCGACCGUUCUACUAUCGGUUAACAUAACUAAUUUAUAGUACGGUGACACAUACGUUUCUAUUUUCGGUCACUAUACGUGGCAGCCAUGCAUGAUCAUGAGUAAUAG
rnacentral:lncRNA from 1 species